rnacentral:misc_RNA from 1 species
AAUUCAGAUAAAUUAUUGUUUGAACAAUUAUGUUUGGCUACGUUACAUCAGAGCUCAAAAAUAAAAUAAAAUAAAAUAAAAUGAGUUACUAGCUUGACCUGCCAUUAGGCUUCCCCAAAAUGUCGCAACUCCAAAUUUAAAGACAUUGGCACCUAAAUAAAUAAAAUAAAAACAAUAAGGCAAUGAAUAUCCAAUACACAAACUAAUUGUUCAAAACCAGUUUCUGCACUCCCAUAUUCCUUAGCUGAAUCAUCACCAUGGAAUUUGUAUCUUCUAUUCAAAAACAAAUGCCUUCCUCUAGAUUAGUCAUCCCAUAGAUUAGUCCGACUGGACAUAACUUCAGAGGCGAUGCAAGGCACUACUCACUAAGAUAAUGAAUCCAAUUCACUAAAAUAAGCGAAAAGCGCUAACCUUCUCUUUCUUCAUAUUAUGUGCAUA